AGCUCAGUCAGCAGAGCAUGGGAUUCUUAAUCCCAGGGUUGUGGGUUCUAGCCCCAU
rnacentral:tRNA from 1 species